GUCACGCCCUAACUAUGGAUGCUAGCUGUUUGAGGUAUCGACCCAUUAAGUAGCGAAGCUAACGCGUUAAGCAUCACGCCUGUGGAGUACGAGCGCAAGCUUAAAACAUAAAGGAAUUGACGGGGACCCCGCACAAGCGGUGGAGCGUGUUGUUUAAUUCGAUGGUAAGCGAAGAACCUUACCCAGACUUGACUUCCUUGUCGUCGUUCUGUGAAAGCAGAAUUUCAUUUAGUUGGACAAGUGACAGGUGUUGCAUGGCCGUCGU
rnacentral:rRNA from 1 species